CCUGACCAGGUAGCUGCCACAUGUUUUUGCUAUGUUAUUAUUUUUUGUUUUCUUACUUUUAGUGGUAAUCCUGAGUGGGGGUACGCUUCACUUUUUUGCAGUUGAUAAGAUUCCUGGUCUUCGGUUAAAGAUGCCUCGAGUUGUGGUUGUGGUAACUGUGCUCCACUUCUGUUGGGUCACUUGUGGUUGCAGCAUUGGGUUCCCAGGAGCUGAUCCUGUUCCAGACUGCCAGCAUGUUUUGUGUACAAGAUGUGUUUUUGAAUAAAACCAUUUAAAUGCUU